UAGAGAGAUGGCUCCGCGGUUGAGAGCAAUGACUGCUCUUCCAGAGGUCCUGAGUUCAAUUUCCAGCAACCACAUGGUGGCUCACAACCAUCUGUAAUGGGAUCUGAUGCCCUCUUCUGGUGUGUCUGAAGAGAGCAACAAUGGAUUCACAUACAUAAAUUAAAUAAAUAAUCUUUAAAAACAAAAAAAAAAACUGUUUCUCAUCUUUAACCAAUACAAAGCCAAACACAAAUUGGAACAGGUUCCAGCUUCCUGCCCAUUUGGAUAACUGUUUUGUUGUUUUGUUUUGUUUUUUUUUUGUUUUUUCUGAAAAUAAAAAGAGCAGCCACUGAGGUACAAAGAAACUGGGACCUUUACAAUCAGUUGAUAGAGCAGCUUCUGAAAGAUAAAACAAACUCACAGUAUGUCUGAGCAGUUCAGCUUCUGAGAACCAUUCCCAAAGCCUGACUUAAGCAGGUAUCUACAGGGCUGAAAGAAAAACACCUUAAAAACAGAGAUGCCUGACAGAUGUUGCAUGGUGCAUGAAUUCCAAAGACACAGUGCUACAUGAGAUAAGACACCAAAGGCAAACAUCAGGAUUCCACUUACAUGAAGCAGGAAAGUGUAUAGAAGGAAAGAAUUGUGAAUGAUUUGGAGGAAAAGGGACAGACUUACUCAAGUUUCAGUAAGAGUGUAAAAAGUUCUGGGCAUGAAUGGUGACACUGACCACAAAAACACUGUAAACCUGAAAGCAUAGUCAGUGCCAAGUGGUGUCCCUAAAGUGAUCAGUAAUAACUGCCUUCCACAGUGCCACCACCAAAAACUAAAAAAUGGUGACACAUCAAUAAAAUUUAUAGAAUUUAGUUUCAUUGGUAAAUGAAUAGAUUAGCUUACCUCUUAGCUGCUCUUUCCCAGAGGGUUGAAUACAAACACCAUUCAGUUGAUCAAAUUAGAAAAUUUUAAAGAAAAAAUCCUUCUUGGUUUGUGUGCAUCCCACAUGUCCAAGUGGUCCCUAUUCUACCUCCAGAGUUCAUUACCCCUAGCCAGUCUUAGUCCUAGCCAUCAUCAUCCCUUCUGAACCAGUGAAAUGCCUGUUACCUCUUGUUGGGGAAGAAGAUGAAAAGGACAUUUUGAGCUAAAAAUCUGUGAAAAGCCAGGUGGUGGCAGCACACGCCUUUAAUCCCAGCACUCAGAGGCUGAGGCAGGCGGAUCUCUUGAGUUAGAGGCCUGGUCAACAGAGCAAAUUUCAGGACUUGAAACUUGAAAAAAAAAAUUUUUUUUAAUAAAAAGCCAUGCAGUCGUCACAUUGCCACAGCAUACUUCAGAUAGUGCACAUUGCAAGUAGAUCUUCUCAAAGGGGAAGGAUGGGGAACUACUAAAUCUAUUAGUCAUUUUAAAAGCCUAGCAACAGAGCUAUAAAAGCUGUGACAUCUAUUAAAUGCUUUUUACUGGGGACUGUGCCAGAUACUGCAGCAACAAAGGUGAGCAAAACAACAUCAGGGCUUGAUCGAGCUCUUGUCCUUGUUAUCAAGAUGAGAUAUAUAUAGUUAUGUUUGUUGAGAGUAAAGAAGAAUGUGUAAGCCGGUGGUCUAUAAUAGGCUGCUGACAGAAACGUGAGCUCAGUCUUACAAAGAAAGUGGUAGCCAGAAGGAAAUGCAGUAUUUGUUUAAAUGAGGAAAAUUAUUCCCAUUGGAAUAAACUGUAUCUGUGUUCCUAAACAGAGAAAAUC
rnacentral:lncRNA from 1 species